ensembl:snRNA U6 U6 spliceosomal RNA
GUACUUGCUUUGGCAGCACAUAAACUAAAACUGGAAUGAAGAAGAUGAACAUGGUUUCUUGGCCCCUGUACAAAUAUGACAGGCAAAUUUAUGAAGCAUUCCAUAUUUUU